GGGCGUGGCGAGUCAGCCGGGCGCUGUAAAUAGGCGCUGGGGCCGGCUCGGGGAAGCUCCGGCGGCGGCUUGGGCGUCGGCACUCCAGCUCGCAGGCUGCAGGCCCAGGCUUUCGGCUGCGGAGUCGGUGACUCUAAGAUCCAGCAUCCAAAAUGUGGCAGCUCUUGGCCACUCUUAGCUGCCUGGUGGUGCUGACCAAUGCCCAGAGCAGACCGCCUCUCCAGCUCCUGUCGGAUGAGCUGGUCGACUAUGUUAACAAGCGUAACACUACAUGGAAGGCUGGACACAACUUCUACCAUGUGGAGCCGAGCUACCUGAGGAGGCUGUGCGGCACCAUCCUGGGUGGGCCCAAGUUGCCCCAGAGAGUUUCGUUUGCCGAGGACAUGGUUCUGCCUGAAAACUUCGAUGCCCGGGAACACUGGCCUAACUGCCCGACCAUCAAAGAGAUCCGAGACCAGGGUUCCUGUGGUUCCUGCUGGGCAUUUGGGGCUGUGGAAGCCAUUUCUGACCGGAUCUGCAUCCUCACCAAUGGCCACGUCAAUGUGGAGGUGUCCGCCGAGGACAUGCUCACCUGCUGUGGUGACCAGUGUGGGGAUGGCUGUAAUGGGGGCUUUCCUGCUGAAGCUUGGAACUUCUGGACAAAACAAGGCCUGGUUUCUGGUGGCCUCUAUGAUUCCCAUGUAGGCUGCAGACCCUACUCCAUCCCUCCCUGUGAGCACCACGUGAAUGGCUCCCGGCCCCCAUGCACAGGAGAGGGGGACACCCCCAAGUGCAGCAAGAUCUGUGAGCCCGGCUACACCCCAUCCUACAAAGAAGACAAGCACUACGGUAAGGUGGGGCCUGGGCUACUACCCAGCACCCCGGGCCCCGGGGACCUGCCGACGCCCUUCCCAGGCCGGAGAAAGGGAGAGGCCAGGGCAAGUGAGUCUGAGUCAGGAACGCAGGAUGGAGAAAGAAAAGUUAUGAAGGACUCUCCUGCCAGAGAGCAGCACGCUGCAUUUCUGCAUGUCUCCACCCUGAAUUUGGCCUCAGGAUUCCUGUUGUUUGAGAGUCACAGACCCUCUGAGUGGGGAGGGACCAGACCCCUUGCUUUACAGAGGAGUAAUCUGGCCGAGAAUCUUUCUGGGUGCCACUCUACCCUUCUUCCAGGGUCUCCUGCUCACUGCCCCUCCCGAUACAGAGCUCUGCUCUCCCACUUCUUGGCUUCCGGGUCCAAUUCCAUCAUUCUCCUCUGCAGAAGCCUUCCCUGACCCCCUGGGCUGGGCGAAUCCCCCUUUAAAGCAGUGCAUAGUUGACUGAGGGAACCGUGGGAAGCACGCCUCAACCCCCACUCGGCUGAUUCAUUUGCCAGGAUGCAAUUCCUACAGCGUGUCAAACAGUGAGAAAGAGAUCAUGGCGGAGAUCUACAAAAAUGGCCCUGUAGAGGCGGCCUUCUCUGUGUUUUCGGACUUCUUGCUGUACAAGUCUGGUAUGUAUUGGCCCCUCUGAUGGCAGUGGGAGCAGAGGAGGUCUGGGUUCCGGGGGACCACCAGGACUCUAUCAAGGAAGAAGACCUCAUUUUGUCCUGGCCACGUCCCAGAUCAUGCCUCACAUUCAGUGGAUGAGAAGACAGGAAGCACCUGGCCGUGUGGGAGGCUGUGGGGAUUCACCCGGGGAAUGAGGACAGCCCCUGGCCCAAGAGCCCUCUUGGAAACCCCCCAUUCUAGAUGAACGGUCUAUAGCUGACCACUUCGGUCUCAUUUACAUUGUGCCAGACGGAAAACUUCAAACCUCUCAACUUUUAUGAAACCUCAUUGGAUAAAGAUGAUUCUGGCAAGGAAAAAGUUAUAAAGCUGGCAGUUUUUAACAGUCCCCACCCAUAUUACAAAAGGAUGCAUUUUCAUUUGACAAAGUGAUUGGCCAAUGAGGGGAUGGCCUGCUUGACAGGCCCAUGGGCACCUCCGCCUGUAUCUUUCUUCAUCCAUCAGUGCUCGCCGCCACCGAUCCGGCCUGUCUCCUACUUCUCCUCUGCGUGUAUCCCAGGGCAGCAGUUAAAACUCUUUUAAGUUUUAUAGAACCCUUUUGACAAAUAAAUCCUUACGUGGAGUCCCAGUAUGUAGAACAGAUAACUGGUUUGUUAACAUUCCAUUUUUUCCUUAAAUUAGAAUUUGUAACUUUAGUUUUAAAGGUGACCAAGAAGCGUAUUUUGUUGGGACCCCCAUUUUAAUAUUUUUUCAACAUAUUUGAGAGUUGGGCUUUCAAAAACCUAUUUAAAUACUUCCCGAACGUUGUGGGAGCCCCUGGAGCCUUCUGGGAGAACACCAGGCCUCUUGUACUACCCUGUUUGCAAGCAGUUCUUUGGGAGGGCUCGUUGGGCCCUCUGGACCCCAUUUGUCCUGACAGGUAGCUGGCUGAGGUGCAGGGAUGCCAUGGGAAAUGGGGCAUCGGCCUGGUCUCUACCUGAAUGGGCUUUCCCUUAGGCGUGUACCAGCACGUCACCGGAGAAAUGAUGGGAGGCCAUGCUGUCCGCAUCCUGGGCUGGGGCGUGGAGAAUGACACACCUUACUGGCUGGUUGGCAACUCCUGGAACACUGACUGGGGCGACAAUGGCUUCUUUAAAAUCCUCCGGGGACGGGAUCACUGUGGAAUCGAAUCGGAAGUUGUGGCUGGAAUCCCAUGCACUGAGCAGUACUGGAAAAGGAUCUAAUCUGCUGUGGCACUGGUCUUGCCAGCCCCGGGGCAGUUUUUCCCUAAAUCGAGCCAAUUGGGCUGGUAACGGAGGGUAGGAAUGUCUUUUAUUCUUUGCAUUCAGUUGAGAUACAAGAGGUUUUGGACAGGGCCUGAAGGAUUGGGCCAAACCUCGUGUCUACCGUCAGACUGUCUUCCAAGGAGACACAUCCGAAGCCUGCCACCUUCCGGCCCGUUCAGUGGACCUGCUGUCACAGUGCACACUUAGCCCACAUCAGCUCCCGCUGCAGGCACGGCGAGGCCUCCCCCGUAGACUAGUGCUGCGCGUAGUGCCUGCUGCUCCGACUCCUGCGGCCGCCACCUCCACGCCGCUCCCCCGCCCCCCCCAACCCGCGUGCACCAGGGAGCGAGACAAACAUCCACAUGGGCCUGUAGGCUUUCCACAGGAAUAGGAAGUGGAGUUCCUCACAAGACAGAUUGCCACCAGCGGCAGUACUUCUGAGCGAGGAACUUUCUAGAUUUGGAGUAAGUUGAGGAGGAAAAUAGUGCGGCAGCUCUCUGGAGAAAGCUGUUCUCCCAGGGCCCUGCAUCCCUUGAGCUUUGCAGUGCUACAACCCCUCUCUGGUCUUCUCCGUGGCAUGGCUCCUUUUUAAAUAGGGGUUUUUAAUUUUGUGCACCUCAGCUGGUCAUACGGACAAACGAGGAAACUUUUUGGAAGAGCUGGCCUGCUUUACAGGCUGUCUCCUUACAACAAAACCGGGUGGUCGUGAGCGAAUAGGCCUAUCAGCCUGACACAGUGGAGCUCGUUUGGGAGAAGCCAGCUUUAACCGUUUAAAAAAUCACUGCUUCACUCUGUUAAUUUAACAAGGAAAGGAAUGACGGUGCCAAUAAAAGUUUGCUCCCUUAACGUGAA